rnacentral:rRNA from 1 species
AUACGUAGGUGGCAAGCGUUGUCCGGAUUUAUUGGGCGUAAAGCGAGCGCAGGUCGGUUUUUUAAGUCUGAUGUGAAAGCCUUCGGCUUAACCGGAGAAGUGCAUCGGAAACUGGGAAACUUGAGUGCAGAAGAGGACAGUGGAACUCCAUGUGUAGCGGUGAAAUGCGUAGAUAUAUGGAAGAACACCAGUGGCGAAGGCGGCUGUCUGGUCUGUAACUGACGCUGAGGCUCGAAAGUAUGGGUAGC